rnacentral:lncRNA from 1 species
GACAUGCAAAGAGACCCUCUAGAGUCAUGAUCAAAGGACAAGACUUGCAUGCAUCAGCCAACAGAACAAAGAAAGUUUGUAUUUUGUUCCUUCUUUUGCUUGUUGGGGUCAGCUUUAUUUCCACUUUCUUUCUUGUUUUUGUUUUGUUUUAUGCUUUGGUCUUGUGUCCUUGCUUAGUACUAAGCUCUCAGAAAAACUGGUUUAUCAGAAAAAUAGCAGUCUCCAACUUCACUGGCGGCUUCGAGACCUUCAAAUAG